rnacentral:rRNA from 1 species
GAUGAACGCUGGCGGCGUGCCUAAUACAUGCAAGUCGAACGCACAGCGAAAGGUGCUUGCACCUUUCAAGUGAGUGGCGAACGGGUGAGUAACACGUGGACAACCUGCCUCAAGGCUGGGGAUAACAUUUGGAAACAGAUGCUAAUACCGAAUAAAACUCAGUGUCGCAUGACACAAAGUUAAAAGGCGCUUUGGCGUCACCUAGAGAUGGAUACGCGGUGGAUUCGUUAGUUGGUGGGGUAAAGGCCUACCAAGACAAUGAUGCAUAGCCGAGUUGAGAGACUGAUCGGCCACAUUGGGACUGAGACACGGCCCAAACUCCUAAGGGAGGCUGCAGUAGGGAAUCUUCCACAAUGGGCGAAAGCCUGAUGGAGCAACGCCGCGUGUGUGAUGAAGGCUUUCGGGUCGUAAAGCACUGUUGUAUGGGAAGAACAGCUAGAAUAGGGAAUGAUUUUAGUUUGACGGUACCAUACCAGAAAGGGACGGCUAAAUACGUGCCAGCCGCCGCCGUAA